UUGGUGAACCAGCGGAGGGAUCAUUACUGAGUUUACGCUCUACAACCCUUUGUGAACAUACCUAUAACUGUUGCUUCGGCGGGUAGGGUCUCCGCGACCCUCCCGGCCUCCCGCCUCCGGGCGGGUCGGCGCCCGCCGGAGGAUAACCAAACUCUGAUUUAACGACGUUUCUUCUGAGUGGUACAAGCAAAUAAUCAAAACUUUUAACAACGGAUCUCUUGGUUCUGGCAUCGAUGAAGAACGCAGCGAAAUGCGAUAAGUAAUGUGAAUUGCAGAAUUCAGUGAAUCAUCGAAUCUUUGAACGCACAUUGCGCCCGCCAGCAUUCUGGCGGGCAUGCCUGUUCGAGCGUCAUUUCAACCCUCAAGCUCUGCUUGGUGUUGGGGCCCUACAGCUGAUGUAGGCCCUCAAAGGUAGUGGCGGACCCUCUCGGAGCCUCCUUUGCGUAGUAACUUUACGUCUCGCACUGGGAUCCGGAGGGACUCUUGCCGUAAAACCCCCAAUUUUCCAAAGGUUGACCUCGGNUCAGGUAGGAAUACCCCGCUGAACUUAAGCAUAUCAAUA
rnacentral:rRNA from 1 species